AUGACAAUAUGUGAACUGCAUUACCCAGCAUCCUCUGGAAGUAAAAGAUCAUAUCUUGCAGACCUGUUUCUGAGCGUGUUCAGACAUGGCCUCCGAGAUUGCAAUGGCUUCUUUCAGCCUUUCACGGGCUCCUGCAGGCUGACACAUAAAAACAGAGUAAAAGAACUUGAAAACAUGAAAAGCAGUCCUUGUUCUAAUUCAGAUGAUGUUAUUUGGGUGAAUCUAACAAAAUCUGCUAAAAUUCUGUCCAGGUCAGGUUUUACCCCCACGAUAUUGCACAAGAAAAAAAAAACAACACAACAUCUUCAGAACACAAAUAUAUCAUCUUCGGAACAAAGGUCUUACGGUUUGGAACCACAUGAGGGCCAUUUUUGGGUCAACUAACCCUUUAACUGUAAAACUAUGUUACCUUGCCAUAUAUAGCGAAAAUGUGUACUUUAAAAUAACUGUCAAAUUUAUGGUUUAUGUUAAAAGAUAUGAAUUAUCAUAUCAUUUACUGUGAAAAACAGUAAAAGGACAUUCCUAGAUGUUCGUGCGCAACUUUAAAUAUGAUUAUAUUACAUUUAAAGUUUUGUUUCUUUCAUGUUUUUGUCAUCAGUUCUAGUUAUCAACGUAUUAAGGUUAAACGUUUUUUUUUCUUUGGUAUUGAGAUAUACCUCUGGUUAAAGAAACCAUUAUAAUGUUAUUUUAUUUCCAGCAAUUAAAAAAAAAAGCAUUGGUUGGGGUUUUAACACCAUUCCUAUGUAAGGUUUUUAAAGUUUGCUUGAAUAAAAACUCUAAAGCUCAGGGCUGAUUGUUAAACAUUUCUUCAAAAGUGUUUACAGAAAAAUAUAGUGAUAUACGAUUCUGUUCACAUUACCCACCGCUACAUGCCAAAUAAACUCAAAUCAGAAAUAUUAAAAACAUAUAGCAAAACAAUUUGACAAUGUCGUAAGUAUAAAACUUUUUUAUUUAUGUAGAAUUUGGACUUACCACUUUGCAUUUCUUUCCUCUCUGAAACUUCUGAAGUUGCUUCUGUGGUAUAGGAGCCUCACCAGGAAAAGGGUCCUUUUUCUAAAUGAGCAACAUAAACCAACGAGAAGGGCUAUCAAAUUUUGUCAAUAUUUUUUCAAAUCAGGGCAGACAAUUGAAGCAAAACCAUUACAAUGAAAUGUUAAACUAAAAAGUGCAAUUAAAACAAUUUUAUUAAAACAAUUUCCUAAGUUAGGAUGUUGAUUAAAUUGAUCAAUUGCAAUUAUUUGAGAUAACCACAAUAGAGAUGCAUUUUAAAUGUCAUUAUUUUGUCAUCCAAAUAUGAGAAAUUUCAUGUUUAAAGCAGUUGUCCCUCCCUACAUACAGAUAAUUUGUAAUCAAGUUAGCCCUUUAUAGUGAUUUAUUUUUCUUUCUUCAGCUAGGCAGAAUAAUACAUUUCUAUUCUGCUGAGUGCUACGGGUAUUGCAUAUUUUUGUAGUCCAAAACCCAAAAACAAGCAUUUUAGUUCCAUCUUCCUGAAGUCUAUUGGUUCUUUUGAAUGGGUUUUUGAUUAAAUGCCAAAUAAAGUCUGUAGUUAACACAAGCUUAAGAUAAUUUCAUUUUUUCCACAACAUAAAAAACAUCAGUAAUCAAGUUAAA
rnacentral:lncRNA from 1 species